rnacentral:rRNA from 1 species
GGUUGAUCCUUCCAGCUUUAUAUGCUAGUCUUAAAGACUAAGCCAUGCAUGUGAAAGUACUAGCUCAUCUGAGCGAAACCGCGAACGGCUCAUUAAAACAGUUAUAAUUUAUUUGACAGAAACCUCCACAUGGAUAACCGUGGGAAAGCCAGAGCUAAUACAUGCAGCCGCAAGGCACGAUUUAUUAGGUACAGCCAGAACACUUUGUGUUUGGUGAGUCAUGGUAACUUCGGGAUCGUCGGCGUAUGCUGGCGACAGGUCAUUUAAGUUUCUGACCCAUCAACUUUGUCGGUAGUGUAUGGGACUACCAUGGUGGUAACGGGUAACGGGGGUUCGGGUCUGAUUCCGGAGAUGGAGCAUUAGAAAUGGCUCCAACAUCUAAGGAUAGCAGCAGGCGCGCAAAUUAUCCACUCUUGACUAAGGGAGAUAGUGACGAAACAUAUCGGCGCGGGGCUAUGCUUCUGCGACCGAAACGGAGGUGUUCUAAACAGACAUCUGAAAACUAUUGGUGGGCAACUCUGGUGCCAGCAGCCGCGGUAAUUCCUGGACCAAUAGUGUAUAUUGAAAUUGUUGCGGUUAAAAAGUUCGUAGUCGGAAGUGGUCGUCCUUUGGGACGGCGUCAGAUCACAGCGCUUUGCGUGAAGUGACUGGCGGGCUACUUUGAGGAAAAUAGGGUGCUCAAAACAGGCGUACGUCUGAAUAAAUCAGCAUAGAAUAGCACAGUGCCGUUGGCUAGCUGGUUGAAGCUACGGAAUGGUUAAUAGGAGCAAGCGUGGGCGAAGGAAUUCCAGGGUCAGAGGUGAAAUUCUUAGAUUCCUGGAGGACCGACAAAGGCGCAAGCAUUCGCCAAGUAUGCUUCCGUUGAUCAAGAACUAAAGUGUGAGAAUCAAAGACGAUCAGAUACCGUCGUAGUUCACACCAUAAACGAUGUCGACUCACUCCCAGCUCAGCUUUGGGCUGAGUUGAGGGUGUACGAGAAAUCAAAGUCUUUGGAGUCCGGGGAGAGUACUGUCGCAAGUCAGAAAUUUAAAGGAAUUGACGGAGGAGCACACCAAAAGUGGAUUUUGCGGCUUAAUCUGACCCAACGCGGGAAAGCUUACCAGGACAGGACAUGGCCAUGAUCGACAGCUUGAUAGCGCUUUCGAGAUUCCAUGAGUGGCGGUGCAUGGCCGUUGCAAGUUCGUGGAUCGAUCUGUCUGGUUAAUUCCGUUAACGAACGAGACCUGGGCUCUUAAUGGGGCUUGGUAAUCUACCGAUGCCCCUCUUAAGAGGACGGGCUGUGUCAAACAGCAGGAAGUCCAGGCAAUAACAGGUCUGUGAUGCCCUUAGAUGCCCUGGGCCGCACGCGUAAUACACUGGCGAGACAACGGGUUGAUUGGCCGAAAGGCCUAUCAAAGCGAGAACCUCGUCCGUGGCUGGGAUAGACGGUUGGAAAUCCGUCUUGAACAAGGAAUUCUUAGUAAGCGCGCCUCAUUACGGCGUGCUGAUUAAGUCCCUGCUUCUUGUACACACCGCCCGUCGCUGUUUCCGAUCGGACGGCUUAGUGAAGUGCCCGGACUGGCACUUAGGUGCUGGAAAGGGCGAUGAACUUGGUCGUCUAGAGGAAGCAAAAGUCGUAACAAGGUA